GCUUGUCUCAAAGAUUAAGCCAUGCAUGUCUAAGUAUAAGCACCCUUAUACUGCGAAACUGCGUACAGCUCAUUAUAUCAGCAAUUAUUUAUUUGAAGGUCACCUAUUACAUGGAUAACCGUGGUAAUUCUAGAGCUAAUACAUGCGUCAGAACCCAACUUUACGGAAGGGUCGUGUUUAUUAGAUACAAAACCAACAUCUCGUUGGUGAUUCAUAAUAACCAAGCGAAUCGUCGGUUUACCGACGAUAGAUCGUUCAAGUUUCUGACCUAUCAGCUUUGGUCGGUAGGGUAUUGGCCUACCGAGGCAAUGACGGGUAACGGAGAAUUAGGGUUCGAUUCCGGAGAGGGAGCCUGAGAAACGGCUACCACAUCUAAGGAAGGCAGCAGG
rnacentral:rRNA from 1 species